AGUGAACGCUGGCGGUAGGCCUAACACAUGCAAGUCGAACGGCAGCACAGUAAGAGCUUGCUCUUACGGGUGGCGAGUGGCGGACGGGUGAGGAAUACAUCGGAAUCUACUUUUUCGUGGGGGAUAACGUAGGGAAACUUACGCUAAUACCGCAUACGACCUACGGGUGAAAGCAGGGGAUCUUCGGACCUUGCGCGAUUGAAUGAGCCGAUGUCGGAUUAGCUAGUUGGCGGGGUAAAGGCCCACCAAGGCGACGAUCCGUAGCUGGUCUGAGAGGAUGGAGCGGCACACUGGAGCUGAGACACGGUCCAGGCUCCUACGGGAGGCAGCGAUUGGGAAUAUUGGAAAAUGGGCGCAAGGCUGAACCAGCCAUACCGGGUGGGUGAAGAAGGCCCUCGGGUUGGAAAGCCCUUUUGUUGGGAAAGAAAAGCAGCAGGUUAAUACCCCGCUGUUCUGACGGUACCCAAAGAAUAAGCACCGGCUAACUUCGU
rnacentral:rRNA from 1 species